rnacentral:rRNA from 1 species
CCUACGGGUGGCAGCAGUGAGGAAUAUUGGUCAAUGGGCGCGAGCCUGAACCAGCCAAGUCGCGUGAAGGAUGACUGCCCUACGGGUUGUAAACUUCUUUUAUAAAGGAAUAAAGUGAGGCACGUGUGCCUUUUUGUAUGUACUUUAUGAAUAAGGAUCGGCUAACUCAGUGCCAGCAGCCGCGGUAAGACGGAGGAUACGAGCGUUAUCCGGAUUUAUUGGGUUUAAAGGGAGCGUAGAUGGGUUGUUAAGUCAGUUGUGAAAGUUUGGGGCUCAACCGUAAAAUUGCAAUUGAUACUGGCAGGCUUGAGUACAGUUGAGGUAGGCGGAAUUCGUGGUGUAGCGGUGAAAUGCUUAGAUAUCACGAGGAACUCCGAUGGCGAAGGCAGCUUACUAGACUGCCACUGACAUUGAGGCUCGAAAGUGUGGGUAUCAAACAGGAUUAGAUACCCCAGUAGUC